rnacentral:rRNA from 1 species
GACGAACGCUGGCGGCGUGCCUAAUACAUGCAAGUAGAACGCUGAAGGAGGAGCUUGCUUCUCUGGAUGAGUUGCGAACGGGUGAGUAACGCGUAGGUAACCUGCCUGGUAGCGGGGGAUAACUAUUGGAAACGAUAGCUAAUACCGCAUAAUAGUAGAUGUUGCAUGACAUUUGCUUAAAAGGUGCAAUUGCAUCACUACCAGAUGGACCUGCGUUGUAUUAGCUAGUUGGUGGGGUAACGGCUCACCAAGGCGACGAUACAUAGCCGACCGGAGAGGGGGGUCGGCCACACUGGGACGGUGACAGGGCCCAGACGCCUACGGGAGGCAGCAGGAGUGAAUCGUCGGCAAGGGACGGAAGGCUGACCGAGAAACGCCGCGGGAGGGAAGAAGGUUGUCGGAUCGUAAAGCUCGGUUGUAAGAGAAGAACGAGUGUGAGAGUGGAAAGUUCACACUGUGACGGUAACUGACCAGAAAGGGACGGCUAACUACGUG